rnacentral:rRNA from 1 species
UACGAAGGGGGCGAGCGUUGUUCGGAUUUACUGGGCGUAAAGGGCGCGCAGGCGGCCAUUUUUGUCAGGCGUGAAAGCCCCGGGCUCAACCUGGGAAUUGCGAUGAAGACUGCAAGGCUUGAAUCUGGCAGAGGGGGGUAGAAUUCCACGUGUAGCAGUGAAAUGCGUAGAGAUGUGGAGGAACACCGAUGGCGAAGGCAGCCCCCUGGGUCAAGAUUGACGCUCAUGCACGAAAGCGUGGGGAGCAAACAGG